rnacentral:rRNA from 1 species
GAUCAUGGCUCAGGAUGAACGCUAGCUACAGGCUUAACACAUGCAAGUCGAGGGGCAGCAUGGUCUUAGCUUGCUAAGACUGAUGGCGACCGGCGCACGGGUGAGUAGCGCGUAUGCAACCUGCCCGAUACCGGGGUAUAGCCCAUGGAAACGUGGAUUAACACCCCAUAGUACUUUUAUCCUGCAUGGGAUGUGAGUUAAAUGUUCAAGGUAUCGGAUGGGCAUGCG